rnacentral:tRNA from 1 species
GGCCCUAUCGUCAAGCGGUUAAGACGUCGCCCUCUCAAGGCGAAGUCACGAGUUCGAAUCUCGUUAGGGCUACCA